UACGUAGGGAGCAAGCGUUGUCCGGAAUCAUUGGGCGUAAAGCGCGCGUAGGUGGCCACAUAAGUCCGUUGUGAAAGUCAAAGGCUCAACCUUUGAAAGCCGAUGGAUACUGUGUGGCUAGAGUACGGAAGAGGCGAGUGGAAUUCCUGGUGUAGCGGUGGAAUGCGCAGAUAUCAGGAGGAACACCAAUAGCGAAGGCAGCUCGCUGGCACGUUACUGACACUGAGGCGCGAAAGCGUGGGGAGCGAACAGG
rnacentral:rRNA from 1 species